rnacentral:rRNA from 1 species
UACGUAGGGAGCGAGCGUUGUCCGGAAUCAUUGGGCGUAAAGAGCAUGUAGGUGGAUCAAUUAGUCUGCUGUGAAAGUCAAAGGCUCAACCUUUGAAAGCCGGUGGAUACUGUUGAUCUAGAGUACGGAAGAGGCGAGUGGAAUUCCUGGUGUAGCGGUGGAAUGCGCAGAUAUCAGGAGGAACACCGGUGGUGUAGACGGCUCACUGGACCAUAACUGACGCUGAGACACGAAAGCGUGGGUAGCAAACAGG